AACGCUAGCUACAGGCUUAACACAUGCAAGUCGACGGGUUUCGAAGGAGCUUGCUCCCAAGAGACGACCGGCGCACGGGUGAGUAACGCGUAUCCAACCUGCCCUUCAUAUUGGGAUAGCCUUCCGAAAGGGAGAUUAAUACCGAAUAACAUGAGAAGAUUGCAUGAACCUCUCAUGAAAGCUCCGGCGAUGAAGGAUGGGGAUGCGUUCCAUUAGGUAGUAGGCGGGGUAACGGCCCACCUAGCCGACGAUGGAUAGGGGUUCUGAGAGGAAGGUCCCCCACACUGGAACUGAGACACGGUCCAGACUCCUACGGGAGGCAGCAGUGAGGAAUAUUGGUCAAUGGGCGCAAGCCUGAACCAGCCAAGUAGCGUGAAGGAUGACUGCCCUAUGGGUUGUAAACUUCUUUUAUACGGGAACAAACCCCGGUACGUGUACCGGAUUGCGUGUACCGUAUGAAUAAGCAUCGGCUAACUCCGUGCCAGCAGCCGCGGUAAUACGGAGGAUGCGAGCGUUAUCCGGAUUUAUUGGGUUUAAAGGGAGCGUAGGUGGUCUGUUAAGCCAGCUGUGAAAUACUGUAGCUCAACUACAGCCGUGCAGUUGGAACUGGCAGACUUGAGUGCACUAGAGGAAGGUGGAAUUCGUGGUGUAGCGGUGAAAUGUUUAGAUAUCACGAAGAACUCCGAUUG
rnacentral:rRNA from 1 species